rnacentral:tRNA from 1 species
GGAGAGAUGGUCGAGCGGUUUCAAGGUGUAGCAUUCGAACUGCUAUGUAGACUUUUGUUUACCAUGGGUUCGAAUCCCUCUCUUUCCA